rnacentral:tRNA from 1 species
CAAGCUAAAGUUUUAGGUAAACUUCAUUAUUUACAUUAAUGUAAUAUCUGUUCGACUCAGAUUAGUUUGA